CCUUCUCUCUUAUCCUGAAUGGUCAUGCUUACCAGGGUUGGGUUCUCAGGCCUCUUCCUUUUUAAACAAAUCUGCAUGCUUCCCCAGGUAAUUUGAUUCCGACUUAUUGAUUUCACCCAUUAUAAAUAUAGGUUGAUGAUUCUCAAAUUUCAAUUUCUAGCUCCCCCUGAGCUGUAAGUCCAUAUAUCCAAGCAUCAACUGGAUAUCUCCACUGAGCUGUCUCAACAGGGAAACGUGUCCCUGUGUCCUGCCUUCCUGAGACUUCUUGCCUGCACGCGGGGCCCAGCCGCGCCAGAGAGAUGGAAGUGACUUUACCUACCCAGCGAAAGUAGCAGUCUGCAACAAGGAAAACAGCUAAGUUAAGAGGAAGUGGUUUUCAUUUUACUGCUUGCAGAAAGGCCAAGAUUUUGACGUUUAAAGCGGGCACACGAGUCAUUUUAAGUCUCUAGAUCUUUCACCCUGAAAGUCCCUGCACAGAAACUCCAUAGGGAGUCUAAAUAUAGCAACAGCACCCCCUCCCGCCCCCUCCGCCUUCAGUCAGGGUCCCGCGCAGCUCUAGGAUUGGAGAGCUUACUCCAGGGCGCUCUCUGCAUCUGCCUCGAAUAGCACCGCACGGAGCAACCUCUCUCGCACCUCCACAGUGCGUGGGUGUGAAGUGUAUUAGGGGAAAGCUAGAGAGUGACUCUGGGUGAUGGUGCUCGGCUCACAGUCACAUGGCGUCGCCGCCAGCUGCACAGAGCUCCCAGCUAGCUUCUGCUGCCCAGAGGCUUGGGGGGAAGGAGGGAGGGAAGCAGGCUCCUGC
rnacentral:lncRNA from 10 species